rnacentral:rRNA from 1 species
UAGGGAAUCUUCGGCAAUGGGGGCAACCCUGACCGAGCAACGCCGCGUGAGUGAAGAAGGUUUUCGGAUCGUAAAGCUCUGUUGUAAGAGAAGAACGAGUGUGAGAGUGGAAAGUUCACACUGUGACGGUAACUUACCAGAAAGGGACGGCUAACUACGUG